GUGCCAGCAGCCGCGGUAAAACGUAGGUACCGAGCGUUAUCCGGAUUUACUGGGCGUAAAGCGCGUUCAGGCGGCUGCGCAAGUCGGGCAUGAAAUCUCUCGGCUCAACCGGGAGAGGAUGUCCGAUACUGCGCGGCUGGAGGGCAGUAGAGGGUGGUGGAAUUCCGGGUGUAGUGGUGAAAUGCGUAGAUAUCCGGAGGAACACCAGUGGCGAAAGCGGCCACCUGGACUGCACCUGACGCUGAAACGCGAAAGCUAGGGGAGCGAACGGGAUUAGAAACCCGAGUAGUCC
rnacentral:rRNA from 1 species